CUACGGGUUGCUGCAGUGAGGAAUAUUGCACAAUGGGGGGAACCCUGAUGCAGUAACGCCGCGUGGAGGAUGACGCAUUUCGGUGUGUAAACUCCUUUUAUAUGUCAAGAAAAUGACGGUAGCAUAUGAAUAAGCGCCGGCUAACUCCGUGCCAGCAGCCGCGGUAAUACGGAGGGCGCAAGCGUUACUCGGAAUCACUGGGCGUAAAGGACGCGUAGGCGGGUUGAAAAGUCAGGUGUGAAAGCCUACAGCUUAACUGUAGAACUGCACUUGAAACUCUCAAUCUAGAGUAUGGGAGGGGCAGAUGGAAUUAGUGGUGUAGGGGUAAUAUCCGUAGAUAUCACUAGGAAUACCUAAAGCGAAGGCGAUCUGCUGGAACAUUACUGACGCUAAGGCGUGAAAGCGUGGGGAGCAAACAGGAUUAGAUACCCCGGUAGUC
rnacentral:rRNA from 1 species